GCCGGGUGUGGUGGUGCACACCUGUAGUCCCAGCUAUUUGGGAGGCUGAGGUGGGAGGAUCACUUGAGCCCAGGAGGCAGAGGCUACAGUGAGCCAUGAUCAUGCCACUGCAGUCCAGCCUGGGUGACAGAGUGAGACCCUAGCUUAA
rnacentral:sRNA from 1 species